CUUCCUCAUUUUUCUCUUGUGGCUGCCAUGUAAGAAGUGCCUUUUGCCUCCUGCCAUGAUUCUGAGGCCUCCCCAGCUAUGCGGAACUUUCCAGGUGUGUCUUUGUCAGCAGUGUGAAAAUGGACCAAUACACCUGGGCUCAGCCAGAGCAGGGCAGAGGAUGGCCAGGGGACAAAGAAGGUAGAGAGACAAUGGGAUUUGAAGACCAGCUGCAGAGAGGAGUAACUUCUCUGCUGAGAGCUGCAGAAACAACCAGUGAGCAGAGAGAAGCUACCCUCUCCACUGAGAGCUUCAGAGACCUACAGAAAUGUCCUGAUAACCUGCCUGCAGAGAGGAGCUGUCCUCUCCAGGGCCUCCUCUCUGCAGAGAGCUGACCACUCGACUGGAUGGCCUGCCUAAAGAGAGGAGCUGCCCACUCCUCUGAAUUGUUUUAAUGCUAAAUAAAACUCUUCUUCUUCCCCUUCACUUGUCUGCAUACCUCAUUCUUCCUGGAUGCAGGACAAGAACUCGAGCAAAGGCGCUGCAGUGACAGAAGUUUCUGGCUAGAAUAAUCGACACGCCAGAGAUCUCAUAACAGUGUCAUUCUCAUUUGAGCUACAAAGAGAUAAUAAUGGGAUAGCAAAAUUAAAUAUACUUUGAAAUGUAAUUUUAAUAUUAGAGUAUAUUUCGCCUUGAGUUGGUAAGUUCAGGUGAACACAGUCCAUGCAGGGUUCUUAUAUGUCUGCAUUUGAUUCUUUCUGUCUCUGAUGGAGAAAGCAACCACUAGGCAAGAAAACAGAGUGUGUACAUGAUUUCAGUGAUUCUUUUCGAUCUCAG
rnacentral:lncRNA from 10 species